rnacentral:rRNA from 1 species
CGCGGGAUUGCUUUUGCCAUGAGUAAAAAUCAUGGCGAAUAAGUGGUGGGUAAGACUGGCGCCAGCCGCCGCGGUAACACCAGCGCCACGAGUGGUAACCACAGUUAUUGGGCCUAAAGCGUCCGUAGCCUGUUCAAAAAAUCUUUUGUGAAAUUGUUAAGCUUAACUUAACUUCGUGCAGAAGACACUAUUGGACUUGGAACUGGGAGGAGUCAGAAGAAUGUUUUGGGGAGCGGUAAAAUGCUAUAAUCCAAGAUAGGCUACCUGUGGCGAAGGCGUCUGACUAGAACGGAUUCGACGGUGAGGGACGAAAGCCAGGGGAGCGAACCGGAUUAGAUACCCGAGUAGUCCUGGCAGUAAACGCUGCGAGCUAGGUGUUGCACAUUUUUCGAGAAUGUGCAGUGUCGUAGUGAAGACGUUUAGCUCGCCGCCUGGGGAGUAUGGUCGCAAGACUGAAACUUAAAGGAAUUGGCGGGGGAGCACUACAAGGGGUGCGGCGUGCGGUUUAAUCUAAUUCAAGGCAGAGCACCUCACCAGAAGCGACGGCAGGAUGAAAGUCAGGCUAAAGACCUUACUUGACGAGCCGAGAGGUAGUGCAUGGCCGCCGUCAGCUCGUGCCGUAAGGUGUCCUGUUAAGUCAGGCAACGAGCAAGACCUGUAUUUACAAUUGCUAACGAGUUCAUCGAAUGAUCGAGCACAUUGUAAGGACUGCCCUGGAAACAGGGAGGAAGGUGCAGGCUACGGUAGGUCUGUAUGCUCCGAAUCUUCUGGGCUACACGCGCGCAACAAUGGUAAGGACAAUGGGAUACAACUCCGAAAGGAGAAGUUAAUCCUCUAAACCUUAUCUUAGUACGGAUUGAGGAUUGCAACUCAUCCUCAUGACGCUGGAAUCCCUAGUAAUCGGACUUCAUCAUGGUCCAGUGAAUAUGUCCCUGCUCCUUGCACGAAUUCGCCGAAUCACUAGU